rnacentral:lncRNA from 1 species
GGUUUUGUACCGCAAAUCCAUAUAUCACACUAACAUACUUGCAUGCAUAAAAUUGCAACAAAACAGAAAAGCAAAUCUACUCUAAAACCUAAAUCAUUUAUAUGUCAAAUCAAAACCUUAACCAAAACCUUCUUUUUUGCACUAAUAACCUACUUAACCUAAACUAACAAUAACCUAUUUAACACUAACUAUGACCUAAACUAACACUAAC